AAGAAAAGAAGGGGUAGACCUAAUCUGACUUGAAGGAGAGUAGUACAAAAUGAUCUAAAAAUAUUAUACAUUUUCGAUGAUUUAAUUUAAAAUCGUUUAAAGUUGAGAAAGAGAAUUCAUAUAGCUGACAUCAAAUUUUUUGGAUAAAAGUUUAUUUGAGUUGAGAGAUCAAUUUGUUAAUAAUGACAAAAUGCAAAGAUGAAAUUAUAAUUUACCAAAAGCUU
rnacentral:misc_RNA from 1 species